rnacentral:rRNA from 1 species
GAUUAACGCUGGCGGCGUGCAUAACACAUGCAAGUCGAACGAAGGGGCGGACGGGUGAGUAACGCGUGAGUAACCUGCCUUAGAGAUGGGGAUAGCCUCUGGAAACGGAGAAUAAUACCCAAUGCUCUAAGAUGGACUUGCGUCUGAUUAGCUAGUUGGUGAGAUAAGAGCUCACCAAGGCAACGAUCAGUAGCCGGCUUGGUAGCGUGUACGGCCACAUUGGGACUGACACACGGCCCAGACUCUACGGGAGGCAGCAGUGGGGAAUUUUGCACAAUGGGGGAAACACGGAUGCAGCGACGCCGCGUGAUUUAGAAGGCCUUCAGGUUGUAAAAAUCUUUUGUAUAGGAAGCAGUACUAUACGAAUAAGGACCGGCUAAUUACGUGCCAGCAGCCGCGGUAAUAC